rnacentral:rRNA from 1 species
UAGGGAAUCUUCCACAAUAGACGCAAGUCUGAUGGAGCAACGCCGCGUGAGUGAAGAAGGUUUUCGGAUCGUAAAGCUCUGUUGUUGGUGAAGAAGGAUAGAGGUAGUAACUGGCCUUUAUUUGACGGUAAUCAACCAGAAAGUCACGGCUAACUACGUGCCAGCAGCCGCGGUAAUACGUAGGUGGCAAGCGUUGUCCGGAUUUAUUGGGCGUAAAGCGAGCGCAGGCGGAAGAAUAAGUCUGAUGUGAAAGCCCUCGGCUUAACCGAGGAACUGCAUCGGAAACUGUUUUUCUUGAGUGCAGAAGAGGAGAGUGGAAUUCCAUGUGUAGCGGUGGAAUGCGUAGAUAUAUGGAAGAACACCAGUGGCGAAGGCGACUCUCUGGUCUGCAACUGACGCUGAGGCUCGAAAGCAUGGGUAGCGAACAGG